rnacentral:lncRNA from 1 species
AAACACGCAUUCAUUUCGAAAUGAACACUUUCAGUAUGAUAACCUCACAAAAAUGUCGUCUACAUAGCCACAUACAAGUCUACAUGUUCAGAAUCUGAUACUCCCAAUUCUUCACAUGACAUAGAAAAAACUUUACUCAACCGGGGACCUUCUCAAUCCGUUAGGAGCCACAGCCCAUUCCCAAAUCCUCAGAGAUGACUAUUAUACAAUUUUGCAGCUUUGACUGUAUUGGCUACAUAUCAUUGAUUCAUUUCAGCUUGUGCGAAUUCAUCCGAAAAGUGCUAAUCUAAAUUAACUCGGCCGAUGUACACAUACAAAUGAUUAGAUAAGCUAGAACGUGCCAAAAGUAAUACGCUAUCCCCACGCCCAAAUCCACCAAUGAAUUUCCACCAUCCUCUCCCCAAGCAGACUCAAGUGCCUAUCCCUGCACG